AGCUGCCUCUCGCACACGCCGGUUCUUGCGCGCCGUCGCGCCCAGCUGACGACUGCUCGCUAGGUUUUGCUGGCC
rnacentral:sRNA from 1 species